rnacentral:rRNA from 1 species
UCGCGAGGAGAGGGACAGCACAGUGGGGAGGUAUUGCACACAUGGCCGAAAGCUGAUGCAGCGACGUUCGCUGAAGGGAAUGGAGGCCUCCGGAUGUGAAACCUUCUGUUACCCGUAAUGAAGACCCCGCCCCUGGUGGUGGGGUGACGUAGCCGGGUAUGAAGCGCCGGCUAACUACGUGCCAGCAGCGCGGUAAUACGUAGGGCGCGAGCGUGUCCCGGAAAUAUUGGGCGUAAAGGGCUUGUAGGCGGCCCGGCCGCGUCCGUCGUGAAAUCCUCCGGCUCAACCGGGGGCUUGCGGUGGGUACGGGUCGGCUGGAGUGCGGCAGGGGAGGCUGGAACUCCUGGUGUAGCGGUGGAAUGCGCAGAUAUCAGGAGGAACACCGGUGGGCGAAGGCGGGUCUCUGGGCCG